GGGGACAUAGCUCAGUUGGUAGAGUGCUUACCUCACAUGCAAAGCCCUGGUUUCAAAACCCUGAACCCCA
rnacentral:tRNA from 1 species